GUUAAAGAGGGACUAAGUGCAAAUAAUAAUGAAAGUGUUUCUUCUUUUCAUUUGUCUUGUACGAAAACUGCUUUCAUAUCAGCGCUAGCAAUAUGUGUCAAACUUGUUUGUGUCUGAGUCAAAUGAAAAGAAUCCUCUAACUAAAAGGAAAUAUCAGCUUUCUCUCAAAAAAACUUUUAGAACCUGUAGUAUCCGAUUAGUGACAAUGGCACUGUACUAAACAAUUUGUUCUUAAUUUUAAAAUCUAUUCUUUGAGUUCCUCAUGGAAGUGAUGC
rnacentral:misc_RNA from 1 species